AGAGUUUGAUCCUGGCUCAGAUUGAACGCUGGCAGUAUGCUUAACACAUGCAAGUCGAACGCUGAAGGGUGCUUGCACCUGGAUGAGUGGCGGACGGGUGAGUAAUGCAUAGGAAUCUGCCGAUUAGUGGGGGACAACGUGGGGAAACUCACGCUAAUACCGCAUACGCCCUACGGGGGAAAGCGGGGGCUCUUCGGACCUCGCGCUAAUUGAUGAGCCUAUGUCGGAUUAGCUAGUUGGUGGGGUAAAGGCCUACCAAGGCGACGAUCCGUAGCUGGUCUGAGAGGAUGAUCAGCCACACUGGGACUGAGACACGGCCCCGACUCCUACGGGAGGCAGCAGUGGGGAAUAUUGGACAAUGGGCGAAAGCCUGAUCCAGCAAUACCGCGUGUGUGAAGAAGGCCUGAGGGUUGUAAAGCACUUUCAAUGGGAAGGAAUACCUUAAGGUUAAUACCCUUAAGACUGACAUUACCCAUACAAGAAGCACCGGCUAACUCCGUGCCAGCAGCCGCGGUAAUACGGAGGGUGCAAGCGUUAAUCGGAAUUACUGGGCGUAAAGCGUGCGUAGGCGGUUGCCUCAGUCAGAUGUGAAAGCCCUGGGCUUAACCUGGGAACUGCAUUUGAUACUGGGCGACUAGAGUUGAGUAGAGGAGAGUGGAAUUUCAGGUGUAGCGGUGAAAUGCGUAGAGAUCUGAAGGAACACCAGUGGCGAAGGCGGCUCUCUGGACUCAAACUGACGCUGAGGUACGAAAGCGUGGGUAGCAAACAGGAUUAGAUACCCUGGUAGUCCACGCCGUAAACGAUGUCAACUAACUGUUGGGUUCUUUAAGAACUUAGUAGUGGAGCUAACGUAUUAAGUUGACCGCCUGGGGAGUACGGCCGCAAGGCUAAAACUCAAAGGAAUUGACGG
rnacentral:rRNA from 1 species